rnacentral:snRNA from 1 species
UUGAGCAGAUUAAAAGCCAA